rnacentral:rRNA from 1 species
UACGUAGGGGGCUAGCGUUGUCCGGAAUCAUUGGGCGUAAAGCGCGUGUAGGCGGCCCGGUAAGUCCGCUGUGAAAGCCGAGGGCUCAACCCUCGGAUGCCGGUGGAUACUGUCGGGCUAGAGUACGGAAGAGGCGAGUGGAAUUCCUGGUGUAGCGGUGAAAUACGCAGAUAUCAGGAGGGACACCGAUUGCGAAGGCAGCUCGCUGGGACGUUACUGACGCUGAGACGCGAAAGCGUGGGGAGCAAACAGG